AAGUCGUAACAAGGUUUCCGUAGGUGAACCUGCGGAAGGAUCAUUAAUGAAAUUAUAAUCCGGCGAGGGGAAAGGCGGAGAGUUGUAGCUGGCCUCUAGGGGCAUGUGCACGCUCUCUUCCGGACCUUUCGCCGUAUGGGCGCGGGGCGACCCGCGUCUUCAUAUACCUCUUCGUGUAGAAAGUCUUUGAAUGUUUUACCAUCAUCGAGUCGCGACUUCUAGGAGACGCGAUUCUUUGAGAAAAAAGUUAUUACAACUUUCAGCAACGGAUCUCUUGGCUCUCGCAUCGAUGAAGAACGCAGCGAAUCGCGAUAUGUAAUGUGAAUUGCAGAUCUACAGUGAAUCAUCGAAUCUUUGAACGCACCUUGCGCUCCUCGGUGUUCCGAGGAGCAUGCCUGUUUGAGUGUCAGUAAAUUCUCAACCCCUCUCGAUUUGCUUCGAGCGGGUGCUUGGAUGUUGGGGGCUGCCGGAGACACUGGAUUUCGUCCAGGACUCGGGCUCCUCUUAAAUGAAUCGGCUCGCGGUCGACUUUCGACUUUGCAUGACAAGGCCUUUGGCGUGAUAAUGAUCGCCGUUCGCCGAAGUGCAAGACAGAAUGGUCCCGUGCCUCUAAUGCGUCGACGCCUCUAGGGGCGUCUUCCUCAUUGACGUUGACCUC
rnacentral:rRNA from 1 species